rnacentral:rRNA from 1 species
AACGAACGCUGGCGGCAUGCCUAACACAUGCAAGUCGAACGAAGCCUUCGGGCUUAGUGGCGCACGGGUGCGUAACGCGUGGGAAUCUGCCCUUGGUUCGGAAUAACAGUUAGAAAUGACUGCUAAUACCGAAUGAUGUCUUCGGACCAAAGAUUUAUCGCCCAAGGAUGAGCCCGCGUCGGAUUAGCUAGUUGGUGAGGUAAAGGCUCACCAAGGCGACGAUCCGUAGCUGGUCUGAGAGGAUGAUCAGCCACACUGGGACUGAGACACGGCCCAGACUCCUACGGGAGGCAGCAGUGGGGAAUAUUGGACAAUGGGCGAAAGCCUGAUCCAGCAAUGCCGCGUGAGUGAUGAAGGCCUUAGGGUUGUAAAGCUCUUUUUACCCCGGGGAUU